UACGUAGGGCGCAAGCGUUGUCCGGAAUUAUUGGGCGUAAAGAGCUCGUAGGCGGUCUGUCGCGUCUGCUGUGAAGCCCGGGGCUCAACCCCGGGUCUGCAGUGGGUACGGGCAGACUAGAGUGCAGUAGGGGAGACUGGAAUUCCUGGUGUAGCGGUGAAAUGCGCAGAUAUCAGGAGGAACACCGAUGGCAAGGCGUCUCUGGGCUGUUACUGACGCUGAGGAGCGAAAGCAUGGGGAGCGAACAGGAUUAGAUACCCGGGUAGUCC
rnacentral:rRNA from 1 species